rnacentral:lncRNA from 1 species
GGCUUCCAGGAAGACACCACUGACUUUUGAGAGAAAGGCAUGGGAGUAAGAAAGUAAAGAAUUCAGGGCAAACGUUGAGCUGCCCUCUGGACUCCAAUGUAAAAGACGUGGAUAGU